CUAUGACUGGAAGCGAUGUCUCUCCCUCUUAGUGUACACUCCAGCUAUCUCUCUCUGUCUCUCGGAUGGAGUUAUGCCUCUCACUCUUAUGAAGCGCUGCGCUAUCCCUGUCUGUAGAUGCUCCCUUUCCAAGUCAAAGAGUAGGACUGGAAACGCUGCACCGAAACAACUCAUCUUUUUCUUCUAACAGCUUCUGACACAUUUUCCGGCUGUGAGCGGGGCUUUCAUGGAUUCCCCAUACAAUGGCAAUGCGUCCUUGCAGACGUCCACAUCCAACCUCAACGCCAGUUACUCACGACCCUCAGAAGUUGAGGAUGAUGGGAAAGUGUCCAGUGACACCAUUUGGCUGUGGAUUGCUGUGCUGGCGACCAUUGGCAAUAUAGUGGUGGUGGCUGUGGUGUGUGCCUGUGCCUUCUGAUACAGAAGAGGAGCUGGGCAGGAACAUGACUGCCAUCAGACUUUGGUUUUCCCUUUUUUUCCUGGGUUAAAAUGAAAAACAAAAACUCUAUUGAUAAAUCAACACAAUCAUUGAUUAGUUUAAUGGUUAUUUUUUAGAUAUGUAGGGAAGCUUUUCAUGACAAUAUCAAUCCCUUUUAAAACAAACUGCAAAGUAGGAAACUCAAGCAAGGAGAUGAAAAUGAAAUAUUGUCUUAUUUAAAUAAGCUAUGAAGUAAAAAUGGCUAAGGUACACCUUCUACAAAGCUAUAAAGUGCAAUAACUAGAAAUAUACAAAAUUAAGCAGAAAACAUCAACACAAUCAACAAUUGCCUUUUAUGUUUACAGAAUUUUUUUAAUCUUCAUAUAAAUUGCUUUAAAUGUAUGCUUUAAAUUCUCACAUUGACUUCUUCUGUGACCCAAACUAUCUUCUUCAUUUGCUUCUAAUUUGUGACUUUCAUCCUUUCAGUUUCAAGAAUGUAGAAGUACAUUAACAUUAGCUGCUAUGAUUAGCUAUGUAGACAUUGGUUAGUUUGUGUAUAACCUAUUACAUUCAUUUUUAAAGAACAAUAAAAUAAACUCAGUUGAAAGUAUGUGUUUCUCUACAAAUGGUUUAGACUGUAUUCAGAAGAACAUGUCUCUAGGUCUGCCCUUUAAAAACGUUAACUGGGUUGCUUAAAUGUCUCUUCCAGUUUCCACAUGAACUGUGUAUUAACUUUUUUUAAUGAGCAAAAGGCCCAGAGCAAAUACCUGCAUGUGUUUCACUUUGUUUUAGAUACCAGGCUGAAACCAAAAUACGACCUCAGAAUAAAAGCAUCAUGCCUGCUGUUGAUAAUGUAAACUGGGCCACAAUCAUAUAAACCUAUGGUGUAUAAGCUCAAUACAUUGCUGAUUACAAGCUUAGCAGUUGACAGGAUUAGACCAGUUCAUAACUUGAUCUCUUAGUGGAUUCAGAAAACAAGGGCAUCAGCCAGUCCCUACAAUUAAAUACAGUUUUAAAAGCAGGGGUUAAAAAUUCAGUUAGUGACAAUGCUUCAUCACAACUUUAAAGUAUAAACUGCUUUUUCCAUGCAGUUGUUUUACUUCCUUUUGUUUUGUUUUGCACACUUGGGUUGGUUGAGUUUAAAAUGAUUGCUGCUCGUCAUUUUCCUGCAGUGGCACAAUGACCUUACAUUGCAGAAAAUCCUGAUCCCAUCAGCCGCACAGCUUGAGUAUCUGUCAUGUUUCUGUUUCCUGCAGUGUUGCAUGCCAUUUAUUUUAUAAUGUCAUUGUUGCUGCAAUGAGCUCUGCUGUAUUUUCCCCAACUGGACUGGAGCUGCUUGUUGUUUUUGGGGUUUUGAGUAAGAAUUACAUUGCUGUUUAAAAAGAAAAAUCAGAAAAAUAUGACAUUUGAAAUCUAUGUGGUAUGUUUGAUGUUAGUAAAGGAGCAACUGAACAAUUCCACUGGGAUCUCUAUAAUGUUAAAAGAAUUACAGUGAUUUGGAAAAACAUGUGCUCCCUUACACAUUAAGUCACAUAUAAAUGUUUCAGAUCUUUAAAAAAGAAAAAAAACACCGAGGGCAAAAAUUCCUACACAGUGAUCUAUACUCAUUGCCAGACAUUGCAAAGGCUUGAUGGCCAUUGUGGCUGAGAUGGUGCAUGCAGUUUUUAGGUUUAGGGAGCAAUAACCUUUUCAGACAUUGAUUUGGACAUAUUUUUGCCUAAAUAAAUUAAUUCAUCUUUUGUAUUUACUCAUUUUAUCUUUGUAUGAUUUUAAAAUUUGUUUUAUCUAAAACAGGUUUCACAAUAAAGGCAAAAACAGACAAAAUAUGCAAGGGAAGAAUAUUUUGUUACAAUAUUAAACAUCCAACAAUAAAGAAAAAUAACUUAUUCCCUUUUCCAUAAUUUUAACUAAGAGCUGAUAAUUUAAUUUCAGUACUUCACAAGUCAAUGUUGCUUUAUUCAAUAUAAUCAUUGAACAAUGGUUGCAAAAGUCAGUUUUUCCAAUGAUUUGCUGUAGCUGCAGCCUAUUUUAUUUUCUAUUACUCAGUGCCUCAGUAAAGUAAAAUUUUUUUCCAGUAGCCAUUAUCUUCCAGACUAACUUAAAAGUUCAGCUGACACACCUUGCCUAAAAGGAAACUAAGGUCCAAUUUAAAAAGCCCAAAUUAUCCAAAAGCAUUUUCCAAAGACACAGGGCUCAAUUGAGCAGUGACUUGUUGAAAUUUAACAAGCAAGAGAAGGGUCACACCAGGGGCGGUUCUCUUUGUAAGGGUUACUUUAUCCUUCCUUAUUAGAAUAAACGGAUCAUUAAAACUUGUGUUAUUACUUGCAUUCAGUUUCUGUCCAGAUCAUUGAGAUUAUUAAUGAGGACAUUCAUUUUCAAACAGCCAAUGGGGAAGAAUAAAUGGAAGAAGACACCGAAGCAGAGAGAGGUGGUGGUGACAUGAGAAUAAUGAGGCAAGAUUAAGUCAGAGGAUAUCUAAAUGCAAUAGGAGAUCAUUUAAAACUCUGCUCUGGUAAUCAGAUGAACUAUUGUUUCAAGAAGAACUUUGUCUCCAGUAAGCCAGGGAAACCAUCAGAGGUACAUGAAUGUUGCCGGAUCAUUUGCUUAGAGACACUAAGAUGAGCCAAGCCAGUGGUUACACGAAUCUGAUUUAAUAUAAAAUGUUCCCAGAGAAACAAAAUCAUGACAUUUAACUCAGAUCUGAUCCAAAUGUUCUGUUCAAGCCAUCAGCAGUGAACUGGGACCACCACUGAAAAAACAACACAACAAUUUAUUUCAUUAUUGUAAAAAGUUUGUGCUAGAAAGAAAAGGAAAGGCAUACACUUUUUACACUUUUUCUGUCAAACAUUACCAAAAUAUUUAAACUGAGUACCUUUAACAAGGAUGUAUAUUUGUUUUAUUUAACACAUCAAAGUAUUUCCCCUUCACUGUGAACAGCUUUCUGUUGCUCAUCUGGGACUAAUGAGCUGUAAACUACCACUAGAGAAUCCCAUCCAUAUUUUGUCACGUCCUCAUAUGAAUGUGCAAUACAAACAAGAAGUUUAUAGACUGCAUUGUGGUUAACGACUUUAAAGAGAAAUAUAAUGUUUUUUAAUCAUUCCUUUUCACACUAAAACCAUUCAGUUGUGGUCUAUAUAAAGUGGAACUGCAAUGCUUUGGUCCGAAUUUCUUGGUAUUGUAUCUCCACAGGCCCUUUUUUAACCCUGUUCUGAGGUGAGUCUGAGAGCAACUUGUUUUGGUGCCAUCUCUUUAAAUGCUGUUGAGCCAGUUCACCUCCCACACCCCUCAAAGAGUGCUCCACUCCACCCUGUUCGGCCAUUUUUGUAGCUUGAUAGCAUAGAUACAAUUAUCUAGCACCACAGAAACAAGACAAAAUUGGCAAAAACAAUGCAAAACUGUUGAUGUAAGAAUAAUAUUCAAAACACGCAGUACGUUAUGUCCUCAAAGAGCUAAAAGCACUAAGUUUGUUGUCAUUUUAGCUUUAUUUGAAGCUUACCGCUUUGCUGUGUUUGUCGUUUCUAUAGACAGAAGGAAUUGACCCCUUAAUCAGAUGACGUCUUUCGGCAAAUAAUUGAUGAUACUGGUGGAGGUAACUGAAGAACACAUCCUUGAAGUGCUUAUUGCAGACGAAGAGCAAUUUCCCCACUGUUGUAGGUGCAUUUCAAAGAAAAAUAAAAUUUAACCAGGCACUUUGAAGAAAUUCUGAUGCUGGGGGAUGGUGUAUUGAAUUGUGUGGGUUAAUACACCCCAAAACUGAAUAUUUUAACUAAUCCACUUGUGAUGUGUGAACUAUUACACUGUGAUGUAAUAGUUCAAAAAAUGUUUUAGAGAAUAGAGAAAACUGAAAAAUAUGAGUCAAACAGCAUAAAAAGAUAUCUACGCAGCACCUGGAGGGACUAAGUUAAACCUUUCUGCACUCCUACAGACUCCAAGUAUGCAACAAAAUGUAUUUAAGGACUAAAAAAGUGGAUUUUGCAUGAUAUGUCCCCUUCAAGAGGAGAAAUUUAGAAGUACAAUUUUGUUAUAGGAGUCAAAACCCAAGUACAACAGAACAGAAGCACACUAAUCAGUGCCACUGAGAACAUUAAUAAUUGGAGGCAAAGGAUAUGAUUAAUGUCCACCCUAUAACAAAAAGAGUUGGAAAAAACAGAAAACUACCAAAACAGGAGGCAUUCAUCCUAUCUGCACAAUGAGCGGUGUGUGAAAGACAUCAGAUGAAAGGGGAAAAACAAUUCUCAAGAAAGAUGAUGAAUUAGAAGAGACAGGAAGAAUAAAAGAGGUGGUGUGAGGUGGAGGAUGUCUGAAGGAAAUUUGUCAUCGCAGAGCACUGUUCGUCGGGAUGACAGGGAAGGAAAUUGAAACAGUUGUAAUUUGAACUUUUAAUAGACAAUGUGCAAAACAAGGAGGGAAGAAAAGGACACAAACAGACAUAAAAAAGCAAAGAGUAAAUAAUGUUGCAUAUAAUGAGUGCCAACUGGCUGUCGGCCUUUUUUCAUGUAGGUCAUUUUAAUUGUUCUGUCAACACGAGUGAGCAAAUGGUUAUUUAGGGUUUCAAAAUAUAGUUGAAUCCUUAAUUCCUCAACAUUUUCACAAAAUGUUGAUAACAUAAGAAAUUAUGUAAAGCAUCGAGGGUUCGUUAUUACUCUGUAAAUCAAAUAUAUAUUGUAACACUUUAUAAACAGGUUAGAAGGAGAACAUCUGUGGACAGUUGCAUUGCCACAGAUUCUCAAUUGGAUUAAGAUCUGGACUUUGACUGGGCCAUUCUAAUACAUGCAUAUGUUUUGACAUAAACCAUUUAAUUUCAUAGCUCUUUCUGUAUGUUUAGAGUUGUUGUCCUGCUGAAAGAUGAACCUCCACCCCUAGCUCAAGUAUUUUGCCUUUAACAGGUUUUCUUCGAGGACUGCCCUUAGCUUCAUCCAUCUUUAAAUUAACUCCUACCAUGUUCUCUGUCUCUGCUGAGGUAAAGCAUUGUGCUGCAUGAUGAUCUUUCUUUUAUGUUUGCCUUUUCCUUUACAUGAUUUCUUGCAAAUUGUAAAUUAAUAGGAAAACAAUGUCAUUUUCCUGUCACUCAUUCAUAAAGUCUAGAUGUGUUUAUAGCAGGACUACAGUUUUUCUGUCCUCAUAGCUGUGGAUUUCUGCUGCUCCUCCAGAGUUAGUCUUAGCUACUUAUCUGAUUAAUGCUUCCCUUGACUGGUCAUUUAGUACAGGUGGACAGCCAUAUCUUGGUAGGUUUGUUGUGCCAUAGUCUUCCUAUAUUUACAUGAUGGAUUUAACAGAGCACCAUGACAUACUCAAUAUUUGUGGUAUUCUUUUCUAACCCAACCCUGCUUUAAACUUCUCCAAAACUUCCCCCCUAAUCUGUCUGCUGUGGUUCUCAUUUUUCUGUGCUAUUUGUUCUGUAAUGUUCUCUAAUAAACCUUAGAAGCUUUCA